ensembl:lncRNA
GGAUUUUUCAUAUGUGGUCCUGUAAAUACGUUACUGCUAACGCUAGGCAGUUAGCUCAUGCUAACCCAAAGCCCUGAUUACUUAGCUUCUUCUGCCCAGGUUUGUGUUUUUGCAUGAUCAGUUAGUCCACAAUAGAAAAUGAUGAUGUUUCUUGUGUUUGCAAAAGCAUUUUAUUUGUAAAAAAAAACAAAAAAACAACAACAACAACAAAAAAAACUUAAUAUCAUCCUCAUGUCUUCUCUUUUACUGUAAUUACAGUUUCUCUUUCUGCCACAGGGUGUCACUGAUCAUGUUCUCUAUUCGCGAUACGGACCAGUGGGUCGUCAGAUCCCUUCUCAGUGUGUGUGUGUGUGUGUGUGUGUGUGUGUGUGUGUGUGUUUUUUAAAUGUCAGCAAGACCUGAUUGUUAGACACAGUGACUCUCCUGCAUCAUUAGGUAACACAGUACACCAGUACUCAAACACACUCACACACUUUCCUCACAAAUAUUUGUGAUUUAAACUUUGAUUCUAAACUAUGACUUUUAACUAGCAUGCUAAUUAUCAUAUACGUCUUGCUACAGCGAUAACUUCCACAGCGCUGCUGAAUUCUGGAUUCUGAUUGGUCCGAAGGCGUUGAUUCAUUUUCUAUAACGGCAGCUCUGACAGUAGCACAGCUCCAAAUCACAGGUUUAUGUUAAUUGUCAGAGCCAUAUCGACGUGUAGUUCUCAUCUGGUGUCUCAUUGAAUCCUGGCCAGUACCUGGAUGGGAAACCUCCUGGGGAAAACUAAGGUCGCUGCUGGAAGUGGUAUUAGUGAGGCCAGCAGGGGGCACUGACCCUGUGGUCUGUGGGACAGGGACACUAUACUGUAAAAACAGCACCGUCUUUCGGAUGAGACGUUAAAACCGAGGUCCUGACUCUCUGUGGUCAUGAAAAAUCC